CGAGAGGUACAGAAGACCUGCUAACUCUUUAAUCUGGUAAA
rnacentral:tRNA from 1 species